AAUGUUAUAGGCGGCAUACAAAGGAUAACGAAACCAAUAAGCCAAUUCAACAAAACCUGCAGGAUUUGAUUGGGUUAGAUGGUGAGGAUCUUGCUCAAUUCAAGCCUUCUGCCAACCAGAAAUUGGAAAAUGAAAGUGCGGCGACCUAACUGAUUUGUUAAUUUGUAGUGCUAUUUCCGUACAAUGAACUUUAAACUGGAAAAGCUUAUAUUUUUUGUUAAAUAAUGUUCUGUAUAAUAUCAUUUUCUC